GACGAACGCUGGCGGCGCGCUUAACACAUGCAAGUCGAACGGAAAGGCCUGCUUUCCCUUGUGGAUUGCGGGUACUCGAGUGGCGAACGGGUGAGUAACACGUGAGUGAUCUGCCCCCAACUUGGGUAUAAGCCUGGGAAACUGGGUCUAAUUCCCGAUAGGACUGCAGGGUGGUGCCUGUGGUGGAACACGAUUUUCUAGUGGUUGGGGAUGAGCUCGCGGCCUAUCAGCUUGUUGGUGGGGUAAUGGCCUACCAAGGCGGCGACGGGUAGCCGGCCUGGGAGGGUGGACGGGCACAUUGGGACUGGGAUACGGCCCAGACUGCUACGGGAGGCAGCAGUGGGGAAUAUUGCACAAUGGGCGGAAGCCUGAUGCAGCGACGCCGCGUGGGGGAUGACGGCCUUCGGGUUGUAAACUCCUUUCGACCGCGAGGAAGCCACCUGGUUGGAAGGGUGGUGACGGUAGUGGUAGAAGAAGCACCGGCUAACUACGUG
rnacentral:rRNA from 1 species